AUUGAACGCUGGCGGCAUGCCUUACACAUGCAAGUCGAACGGCAGCACGGGUGCUUGCACCUGGUGGCGAGUGGCGAACGGGUGAGUAAUACAUCGGAACGUACCUUAUCGUGGGGGAUAACGCAGCGAAAGUUGCGCUAAUACCGCAUACGCCUGAGGGGGAAAGCGGGGGACCGUAAGGCCUCGCGCGAUUAGAGCGGCCGAUGUCUGAUUAGCGUGUUGGUGAGGUAAAAGCUCACCAAGGCGAUGAUCAGUCGCUGGUAUGAGGGGUCGAUCGGCGACACUGGGACUGAGACACGGCCCAGACUCCUACGGGCGGCAGCAGUGGGGAAUGUUGGACAAUGGGGGAAACCCUGAUCCAGCAAUGCCGCGUGAGUGAAGAAGGCCUUCGGGUUGUAAAGCUCUUUUGUCAGGGAAGAAACAGCAGCUCUAACACAGUCUGCGAAUGACGGUACCUGAAGAAUAAGCACCGGCUAACUACGUGCCAGCCGCCGCCGUAA
rnacentral:rRNA from 1 species